AUUGAACGCUGGCGGCAGGCUUUACACAUGCAAGUCGAGCGGAGCGAGGGUGCUUGCACCUUAGCUUAGCGGCGGACGGGUGAGUAAUGCUUAGGAAUCUGCCUAUUAGUGGGGGACAACAUUCCGAAAGGAAUGCUAAUACCGCAUACGCCCUACGGGGAAAGCAGGGGAUCUUCGGACCUUGCGCUAAUAGAUGAGCCUAAGUCGGAUUAGCUAGUUGGUGGGGUAAAGGCCUACCAAGGCGACGAUCUGUAGCGGGUCUGAGAGGAUGAUCCGCCACACUGGGACUGAGACACGGCCCAGACUCCUACGGGAGGCAGCAGUGGGGAAUAUUGGACAAUGGGCGGAAGCCUGAUCCAGCCAUGCCGCGUGUGUGAAGAAGGCCUUUUGGUUGCAAAGCACUUUAAGCGAGGAGGAGGCUACUUAGAUUAAUACUCUGGGAUAGUGGACGUUACUCGCAGAAUAAGCACCGGCUAACUCUGUGCCAGCAGCCGCGGUAAUAC
rnacentral:rRNA from 1 species